rnacentral:rRNA from 1 species
UACGUCCCUGCCCUUUGUACACACCGCCCGUCGCUACUACCGAUUGAAUGGCUCAGUGAGGCCUCCGGACUGGCUCGAAGAGGUUGGCAACGACCACUUCGAGCCGGAAAGUUCGUCAAACUCGGUCAUUUAGAGGAAGUAAAAGUCGUAACAAGGUUUCCGUAGGUGAACCUGCGGAAGGAUCAUUACCUAGAGUUGUAGGCUUUGCCUACCAUCUCUUACCCAUGUCUUUUGAGUACCUUCGUUUCCUCGGCGGGUCCGCCCGCCGAUUGGACAAACUUAAACCCUUUGUAAUUGAAAUCAGCGUCUGAAAAAACAUAAUAGUUACAACUUUCAACAACGGAUCUCUUGGUUCUGGCAUCGAUGAAGAACGCAGCGAAAUGCGAUAAGUAGUGUGAAUUGCAGAAUUCAGUGAAUCAUCGAAUCUUUGAACGCACAUUGCGCCCCUUGGUAUUCCAUGGGGCAUGCCUGUUCGAGCGUCAUUUGUACCUUCAAGCUCUGCUUGGUGUUGGGUGUUUGUCUCGCCUUUGCGUGUAGACUCGCCUUAAAACAAUUGGCAGCCGGCGUAUUGAUUUCGGAGCGCAGUACAUCUCGCGCUUUGCACUCAUAACGACGACGUCCAAAAAGUACUUUUUACACUCUUGACCUCGGAUCAGGUAGGGAUACCCGCUGAACUUAAGCAUAUCAAUAAGCGGAGGAAAAGAAACCAACAGGGAUUGCCCUAGUAACGGCGAGUGAAGCGGCAACAGCUCAAAUUUGAAAUCUGGCGUCUUUGGCGUCCGAGUUGUAAUUUGCAGAGGGCGCUUUGGCAUUGGCAGCGGUCCAAGUUCCUUGGAACAGG